rnacentral:misc_RNA from 1 species
CGUUGCUGCAGGCCCUCUUCCUCCCUGUUGCUCUCUCCGUAAACCAGAACGCACACACACAUAAAGCGGACGUCAUGGGUAAUAAGAUCAGCAGCGCCGACCAAUCGAAUGCGGAUGACAGAGGCGUCCACUCCGAGUUCGUGUACCGCUACGAAACCACAAAGAAGCUGAAGCUGUCGUACAUGAUGCUCAAGAAGAACGUCGCGACUGCCGUCAUGACCAUGGAGAUCACCCCGCAGCACCUCCGCGACGUCGGCACGGGCUACUCGAACGUGUGCGCCUGCCUGAAACACGGCGGCUCCGGGGGAGCAAACUCGCGCAUCCAGGGCCGGGCCGAGGGCCGCGAUCAGGCCCCUACCAGCCGCUCCAGGGUUGACCGCGAGCUCGCUGAUGAGUCCUACCAGGGUUUUCAGACCUUCUGUGAGGCCAUGGAUGACAUCAAGACCGGUGUGUGCGUCACUUGCCGCACCGCCAUUCACGAAAGGAUCACGGUCGAGCUGGACAGGAUGGUGUUGACCGCAGAGCGCGUUCUGAAGCAGGGUAGGAAGACGAUGCGUAGCAUGGCCCGUUUGACAAAAGUCGCAAGGCAAGUGUCGCGGCGCGAACGGUCGGCGGUGAGCCAGGGCAAGGACCUCUCAUCGAGCAAGAGCUACGCGAAGGCCGUCAAGAGGCGCGACGCAAAGGAGAGUUUGUACAAGACAGAGCUCGAGGCCUUUGAUCAGCUGUACGAGAACGUCAUGGUCGGGUCGCAGGAGUUCUGCUCCUCGACGACGGACAUCUUCCUUGACUGCAUCGUCGGCUAUUACCGCGAGAUAGUGACGACGAUCGACGUCUCAGACACCCCGCAGUGCAGCCGCUUGCGAAGCCGCUUUCGCAGCCGUGAGCGAGAGGUGGUGCUGCACCAGGCUUCGGAUGCGAGGUUUUGUGAGAUGCCGGCUGGGCACAAGGACGGCAGCAAGUCCUCGCCCUCCACCGUGCCGCUGAAGUGGGAUUAGGACGUUGCGCACUGCCAGAUAUCUCAUUGAUACCGCUAUCAAAGAGGGUCGCUUACUGCGUGCGCAUCACCCGUCUCACGUGUGCGCAAGUGCACGCAGGGCAACGACAUUGUCUCCUCUCUCUUAUCUUGUUUUACUUUUACCAUUGUGCAUUUCUCUUCCCAUUCGCAGCUCGCCUCGUCGAGUGCGUGACGGGUUCCGCUGCCACCGCUUCCGCUCUUCGCGCACUCUCCGUCUCUUGGUCGACUCUCUUUCUCUCUCUUUCUGCUGCGUGCGAGUUGUAAAGUCGAGUUUGGGGUGCGGAUGCUCUUCUCUGAGGCAGCACCAAAAGGGGACACCAACAGAUGCGGGCCGACGAACAUAUCUCGAAGAGGCACUAGAUGGCGCACAUCUCCCCUUUGCCAGUGCUGCUUGCCGGGUGAUGGCCGGCACCCCGCCAACCCGUGUUUCUCCCCUCCUGUAUUUCAAAUCUCCGCUG